rnacentral:rRNA from 1 species
UGCUUUCGUAGUCCGGAUUGGAGUCUGCAACUCGACUCCAUGAAGUCGGAAUCGCUAGUAAUCGCGAAUCAGCAUGUCGCGGUGAAUACGUUCUCGGUUCUUGUACACACCGCCCGUCAUACCAUGGAAGUGGAUUGCACCAGAAGUAGAUAGUCUAACCUUAGGGAGGGCGUUUACCACGGUGUGCUUCAUGACUGGGUUAAAGGUCGUAACAAGGGUAGCCGUAGGGGAACCUGUGGCUGGAUCACCUCCUU